rnacentral:piRNA from 1 species
UACAAGAGUGUUGACAACCAUUAU